rnacentral:misc_RNA from 1 species
AAGUCGUAACAAGGUUUCCGUAGGUGAACCUGCGGAAGGAUCAUUAUCCAUCCAAAACCAGCUGCGGUCGCGGCCCCACGCUUACCCGUGGCGGUACGCGCCGCACGUCUGCACCCUUUUUUUACGAGUACCUUCGUUCUCCCUCGGCAGGGCAACCUGCCGUUGGAACCAUACAAAACCUUUUUUUGCAUCUAGCAUUACCUGUUCUGAUACAAACAAUCGUUACAACUUUCAACAAUGGAUCUCUUGGCUCUG